GAAUUUAUGAUUCAGCAUAAAUUCGGUUAUUAGUGUAAGCAAUGUGUGUCAUUGACCGUGCUACUUUUUGUCUAAUGUGGGUUAUCACUUAUCCGAUUGAUCACGCGCAGUAUGACUGCGAAUGCAAUCUUUUCAAUAGCUACAUUCAACAAUAGCAGACGUAUAUUUAUUUUGAGGAUUUUAAAAAACAGGAUUUUGAAUGUUUAGGUUUUUACUACUUCUUUUUCAACUCGGGACUCAGUUUUAGUUAAGAUGAACACUAGAGGUCAAAAUAAGAAGCGUAAAUCCACAACCAAAACAUCAUCAUUAGGAGCUGCUACACAAGAAGACACACCGCCUCCAAUGGUGACUACAGUGCAAGAUACAGAUGAUAAUAUCCCUUCUAACUCAGGAGCAGUAAUGCACCCAGUUGUCACAAAUCGACAAGAAUUUCAGGUUCACCAAUUACAAUUUGGAUUGUUGGUUCCUCCUUAGUGAAAAAUGCAUUUGUUCAAGCUAGAAGAAGACCAGGUGGCAUUAAUCUUGGCCAAGAUCACAUUGGUGUUCGGCUGUGGUGGUUAGGUAAAAGCGGAAUGCGGCUUAAGGAUCUACUAAAUAGGAUCAAGCUGAUGCUUAGAUACGAAGAACCCCCGACCUAUCUAGUUAUACCCAUGGGGGGAAAUGACUUAGGAGAAAUUAAGACAGGAGUAUUACGUAAUAGACUAAAACAUUAUGUAAAUAACAUUACAGAACUUUUACUAAAUACAACAUUGGUAUGGUCACAAAUUUUGCCAAGACUCACUUGGCGUUAUUCUGCUGAUAUUGAUGCAAUGGAUAGAUCCAGGCAGCGAAUAAACAGCUCUCUAGCAAGUUAUAUCAUUCGCCACGGGGGACAUUACAUACGAUACCCAGAUAUAUCUCCUAACUCUACAUUUAUAUGUCAAGAUGGUGUACAUCUGACUGAUAUUGGUAAUUACAUUUUUCUAAAUACAAUUCAAGGCGCUUUAGAGGCUUUCCUUGUCUACUCACCACACACUUUUCCCGAAUGUAAAUCAUGAACUUUUAAGAUAUUCAUUUGAAUUCAGUUUUUAUUAGAUAUGUAUAGCUCUUCUAUAUCUUAUAUAAUUAUUGUAUUUGGCCCACAGCUUUUUCGCAGCUCUAUCCGCUUGGAAUGGCGGUUGACCCGUCAGUCAUUUAUGACUGCCUUGGUCAAUUUGGCACAUUUCGCUGCGUUUACUUUAGAUAUGCGUCAUUUUGUCGCAUAUUUCAAUUAGCAUCCAAAACAUUUGAUAUUGGGGGUCUCUGUAUCCCAGGACCCACCACACAAAAAAUAAUGAAUCUCUGUAUCCCAGGAUUCAUUUUAUUUUAUUUUAUUGGAUGCUUCAUUUAUUGUAAAAAUUUAGUUAUCUAUCUAGUUAGUUAUCUAGUUAUCUUUUGUAGUCUGCCAAUAUGAAAGGUGACUACGUUCAUUUAAUUAUCUAUCUGUUUGCUAUAUAUAUAUCUUAACUGUUUAUCUAGUUAUAUGUGUUUAUAAUUUUGUAGUUUGUAAUAAAGCUGUGGCUUAAUACUGCCAAAACUGUGUUUCUGAUAUUUGCGCAUCAAUAAUAAUAGAAUUUAUGAUUCAGCAUAAAUUCGGUUAUUAGUGUAAGCAAUGUGUGUCAUUGACCGUGCUACUUUCUGUCUAAUGUGGGUUAUCACUUAUCCGAUUGAUCACGCGCAGUAUGACUGCGAAUGCAAUCUUUUCAAUAGCUACAUUCAACAAUAGCAGACGUAUGUUUAUUUUGAGGAUUUUAAAAAACCACCCACCGACCGCUAUAUGUUUAUAAUAUAUUUGGACAAUUUUUGCUGUGUGUUGAUGUA